UCGACGUGCUGGAGCUCUGCGCACGACCAGCUUGAGUUUGCACCCGCAGCUACAGGACACAACUUUAUGGAGAGACUCUGCCAAGCUGCACGGCGCCGCCCCGAGAAUCGCCAGAGCAUGGCCUGUGGUGAAACACGAGCCCAGGGAUCUGCACAGGAACGCCGCCGGCACUGGCACUGCUGUUGGGCUUGAGGCAGCUUUUUAAAAGAGGAGUACAGAGGCCCCAACCUCCUCCCCCGCCUACACAGCUUGAUACCUCUUGCACUGCCUGCAGUGGCUGGGUUUCACUCCCCUGCACCACUUAGUGCUGAAACUCUGGGAGAAGAAGUCCUAUGGCCCUAAGUGUCUUGCAAAUGGCCAGAGAAGCAAGAUUGGGGCUGAAGACAUGGAGGCUGCACACAACCAAAAGAGGAGAGAUGGCAUGUGAAGAGCAACAAGACCUCCUGGCCAUGGAGCCUUGGAAGAGAUCCCCUGCUGCCUAUGUUCUGCACCAGAUGCAACCACAGUUCCAGUAAGCAGCACUUCUGGGUCCUGCUCUUAACGUGGGAUGCGCUCGCAGAGAAACAGGGAUACCCAGCUCUUCUUCAUCAUUUCCCCUGGUUGACACUAAAUGGACCACCUACAAGGGGCACUACUGCUGCUGUGGAUGAGCCCAUUUAAAAAAAUAAGAAGAAACAAUUCAGAAAGUGACGCAUUACUUCUGCCUGCGGACAGAGGGAACAGCUGAAACGUGGGAGUCCAGACU